AAGCGGUGGAGCAUGUGGUUAAUUCGAUGAUACGCGAGAAACCUUACCAGGGCUUGACAUAUACAGGAAUGUUGUAGAGAUACAGCAGCCGCUUGCGGUCUGUAUACAGGUGCUGCAUGGCUGUCGUCAGCUCGUGCUGUGAAGUGUUGGGUUAAGUCCCGCAACGAGCGCAACCCCUAUCAUCUGUUGCCAGCAUUUAAGGUGGGGACUCAGAUGAGACUGCCGGUGACAAACCGGAGGAAGUGGGGACGACGUCAAGUCAUCAUGGCCCUUAUGUCCUGGGCUACACACGUGCUACAAUGGCCGGUACAGAGUGAAGCGAAACCGCGAGGUGAAGCAAAACGCAGAAAGCCGGUCUCAGUACGGAUUGGAGUCUGAAACUCGACUUCAUGAAGUUGGAAUCGCUAGUAAUCGCGCAUCAGCAUGGCGCGGUGAAUACGUUCCCGGGCCUU
rnacentral:rRNA from 1 species